rnacentral:tRNA from 1 species
AGAGAUGAGACCAUGGCUCAGUGGGAAAACAUUUGCUUGGCGUGCAGAAGGUCUUAGGUUCAACCCCAGACGUCUCUA